AACCCCCAGCUGAAAUAAUUGACUAUGUGGUCACUGCCAUUUCUCCUAGAUGAGAAGACCAGAGUUGGAGGGAGUAGCAGACUGCACUCUCCAUUGUCUACUCCAUCUAUCAGGUAGCUAAGAACUGGAGCCUGUGUUGAGAAAGGUGUCCUUGUCUGAUUUCCCAUCAACAUAGCAUUUGGUCCUAAUUUUUGAGGUAGGGACAGAGACAUGGAAGACACGGGUCUUAAAAAGAAGGGGCUACGUGGGACACUAAAAUCACACCUAUGACUGCAUACAAGGCUUCUGAGGAGCAAGUUCACACCCUCAUGAUUUUACUUGUAAAUGGAAAACCCACUACAGUAGCUAACCGUGAGAAAAGGAAGAUCUUGUGGUUAAGGCACUGGACUGAGGCUCAGAGGGUUCAAUUAAUUAAAAAGAAGUAUUCAAACUCUUAAGAUGAUGCUAUGCCACUCAACAGGCCAGGGUACAAAAAUGCUAAAUUUAUUGAUAGACUGCAGAGUCCAAUUUGCAUUUCAAAUCAGACUGCACAGCUCCCCAAACAAGUAAGUGCCCCCACAAUGUAUGGAACCUGAGUUUUUCCUCCAACAAUCCAUGACAAACAUUGUGUAAUGUGUGUGUGUGUCGGGGGGCUUAGGUUUGGUUUUAAGCUUCACCAUCUUGAAAAGGUUCCAUCUUUUAAUAAGGUACUACAGCCUACUGAUAAUUUUGCAUGCUAUACAGCAGAAAAAGAAUGAUAGAAAAUUUAUUUAAACAUCUCACUGGCUUAUCUUAAAUUCAUAUCUUAGUACUUUGUGGCAUUGUGAGAGAUAAUUUACCUUAAAUCGAAGAUUUGGUGGGCUGUCAGUAAUAUUCUCUAUUUCAUACGUUCUGCUUUUUUAUUUAUAUACUUGGAAAAAAAACCUUAAACUACAAAGGUGUAUUCCUCUUUCAAACAAGUCCUCUUGCAGCCUGUCAGAAUACAUUAUAGAAUAAGUAUAUUAUGUAUUUCUAAUACUAAUUAUACCCAAAUAGUAUAGAUAUGGGGGAGAGAGAGAGAGAGAGAAAAUGAAGGAGAAUAUUAGUAAUGUACCGUAUGUGAACAAGAGUGAGACAACUACUGCAGCAUAAAGAACCCACAGGCAUCUGGGCUUUCCCACUUUGGUAGCAAAUGGGGGGAAUUAUGGGUUGGUGGUCUGCUUCAUGUUAGGAGGACACCCCUCCAUCUGUUCUCAGUGCAGCCUGUUUCCAAUUUAAAACGCAGAUUUCAAUACAAACCUCAGUUUCUUUUCCCAAUUUUAUAUGCAAAGCGAGGCUUAUGAAUUACAGUGUCACUGCCACUGGGACCGAGACCAAAUUUCCCCCCAAAAUUCACUGGCUAUUCAUUUGAAUACCUGUUUACAGUGAUCAACAAUGGGCAGCUUUGAAAAGAAAAAUUGAUAAUCUUCACGGAAGAGC
rnacentral:lncRNA from 1 species